GGAAACUGCAGCUGGACCUGGGGGAGGGGGGCUGAGGCGAUGUCCUGAGAGGCCCGGAAACUGGAAUUUUCCAUGAUGUGGGUAAAGGCUCUGUGUGACUCAGUAGAGUCUGGCACACAGUGUGUCAUUGGCCUCAGGGAAGAGCCCGGGACAGAGAGAAUCUGGGGCAGGUUCCUGGCAAGACAGCCCGCAUGUACAUCCCUUCCGGGGCCUCCCAUGUCCCGUACGGGUUGCCACGAGGACCAUGGGGACCGAGGAAGGGUAAGCAUCCGGGUCUGAUGUGUUUGCAGAAUGAGGGAGGGAGGCGAUGGGCACAACGGCGGAUAAGGGGGACCCAGAGGCAGACUCUGCAUCCUAGUCCCAGUGAU
rnacentral:lncRNA from 1 species